UUAUUUUAUGAAUAAACAUUUUAUCAAAAAAAAAAAUAAAUAAACAAUAAACAAAUAAAAUAAAUAAAAGAAUAUAAAAAAACUCGAGAGAUGUAUUCGGUAGUAGGACAAAUUCUCAUGAGAGGAUUGCAAAGCGUGUUGUUGAAAAUGAAAAUCCCACGCAACAUCCAGGAAGUGGUGAGGGUGGCACCGGAUGCAUCUCAAUGAGGGGAGAACGAGCGAAUGAGUCGCGUAAAACAAUCCUUUUUGCGUUUCGCAAAGACUUACCGUCUCUCUUUCAUCUGCGGUCAGGUGGGGUACCCGUUUAGCAAGGUAUUUCGUUGCAUACACAGGUGUUCUCUCAUGGUUCGUUGUAGACGAAGGUUAGAAAACAAAUACCGUUUCCUUUUAUAACGUUUACCGCCACUAUCUUCCGAACGAUGAGCCGUUUUAGAUUAUUUCUCAAGGAAACAUGUGUUUAUAUUAUGUCUUGAAAAGACGGCCGGAGGACGCGUGGCUGCGUCUGCAUCGUCUAUUUACCACCUAAAGAGUCACCUGUUUCAUCUAGGUAGAAGAAUUUCACUAUCAAAUCCGAGUUUACCGUUGGUAUAUGUUAUCUCGUCGCGUGCACGCCGCCAUAGAAUGAAAACGUAACCGUGAUAAAUCAUCUUUAUCGAGAUCAAGGUGGUGGAUCGAGAUCGAGGUUGGAAACAAGGAUACUAGGAUCCGUUAAGGCGUGAACAAAUACAUUUUCAUUCAUCAGUAACCAUUGCUCCCUUAAAAAAAAAAAAAAAAAAAAAACGACAUUAAAAAUUCUUUGCAAAGAUCCUUCAUUGAUCCGUUCAUUAGCGGUGGUCGUUAUUAAUUGUUCAGCGUGGAAGUAUUGAAUGGUUGCGGAGAACAAUGAAGGUGGUGCACGUUAUACGAAAAUAUCUUUUGUCGUAGUCGCGAUUGUACCCACUUCCGUGGGAAUUCGCGGAACGGAAGUGCAAUUUCUGGCAAUGGGUACACCACCAUCAUCUUGGCCAGCUUCAGCAUAGCGCGAGCAACGUGAAAAAAACGAUUCUUAAGAAAUGAUGCCAGGUGCACAACACGCUUCCUUCUCACGAGAACUCGAGAUUAAUUUUUAAGAAAUUUUUUAACAAGUGCUGGCGCUCGAAGAAUUAAAUGGAAUUAAGAAGUUAACGAUGUGUCAUCUUAUUCUCGUGCCUCGAAUUCAGGUCACGCAUAAGUCAUGCACCAUAUGUUUGAGAGCAUCUAAUCCGUCUAUAUGAAUCUCGUGUUGUAGUUAUUCCGUUUUAUUAGAGAAGAAGUAGGAAGAAGAGGAAAAUAUUUGAAAAGUCGGACGCAGAGUUAUAAGGGUUGGAAAGUUUCGAUGGAAACGAGGACGGCGAGUCACGUGCGAGCGAUCUGUCUCUCCGCCGUUCCGAGACAUUUAUAGAAACGAGGGACGUGCGAUGACGUGAUUUGGCGAGAAUGAAAUAAAAAAAAAAAAAAAGAAAGAAAGAAAGAAAGGAAAAAAAGAACGCUCGUGUGAAAGGACGAAUCAAGGUAAACGAGUAAUCGAAGUUAAUUAGAACGAUGGUUGAAAUCGUUUAUGCAGAGCGAUUUAUUAUAUUCGCACCUUUUUUACCGUCCGAGUCGAUCAAACGUACUGUAAUGUAAUUUAAAUAUGUGCAUUGCGGUAAAUGUUAUUGAAUGACGUGUCGAUGUAUCGAGCGUAUAAUAUUAGCCACGAUUAAUUUAUGCAUUAUGCUUUGCAAAUGAAUGGCGCAGGAUUAUCGA